GAGAUCAUGCCCUCACGGGUAGACCUCCCACCCUGUGUUAUUUACUCUUGUUGCCUUGUCAGGCCGCCUUCGGGCCCGCGGCUUCGGCUGUGGAGCGCUUGUCAGAGGACCUCAACUCUUAUGUUUACGUGUCGUCUGAGUACUAUAUAAUAAGUUAAAACUUUCAACAACGGAUCUCUUGGUUCU
rnacentral:misc_RNA from 1 species